AUGGCUUCUCGGCCUUUUGGCUAACAUCAAGUGUAGUAUCUGUUCUUAUCAGUUUAAUAUCCAAUACGUCCUCUAUCUGAGGACAAUAUAUUAAAUGGAUUUUUUGGAGUUAGGACUUGGAAUAGGAGCUUGCUCUGUCCACUCCACGCAUCGGCCUGGUAUUGCGGUGCCUCCGGGAACGGUGUACCCCCU
rnacentral:snRNA from 1 species